UACGGAGGGAGCUAGCGUUGUUCGGAAUCACUGGGCGUAAAGCGUGCGUAGGCGGUGACUCAAGUCAGAGGUGAAAGCCUGGAGCUCAACUCCAGAACUGCCUUUGAAACUAGGUCGCUAGAACAUCGGAGAGGUGAGUGGAAUUCCGAGUGUAGAGGUGAAAUUCGUAGAUAUUCGGAAGAACACCAGUGGCGAAGGCGGCUCACUGGACGAUUGUUGACGCUGAGGCACGAAAGCGUGGGGAGCAAACAGG
rnacentral:rRNA from 1 species